GUCCUUCGUUCUCAUUUCACUUUCGCACCGCUUCAUCGUCGACAUUGUUCCCUUCUCUCUGUCUCAAUGAUCUUCUAUCUCACUGAAAAAGGCAAUGUUGUUCGAUAUUUUGACAUGGAUUCUAAUGAAUGCAUAUCUCAAUCUGAUCCCAAAGUUUCAAUCUUUCUUGAAUCAUCAUGUCAUCACGGACGCGCCCCUCAUCCUCCAGAUCCAAGUUUCACACAAUUAUAAACAAGAUGACCCAGAUGAAUCACCUACAUAGGUUCUUCGAUGUGUUAUUCUCUGCCUCAUCCUACACAACCUGUUUUUCCUUUCCUUUUUGUCGGACUGGGCAUGGCAAAUUGGCAAGCAAUCACCUCCUUACUCUUAGCCAUAGGUAAUCACAUGAAUAGUCUUGGAGGUUUGUGUGUCUUGGAGGUAAUCACAAAUUGGCAAACAAGAGUUUUACAUUGUAUAAUCUAUUCCAUAUAAUCAGUUGCAUAGUUGUGUCUCAGGUUUUUGGUGUGUUAGAUGGUCGAAUGUUUAGUAACUAUGACUAUUCAGAGGUUUAGAUGAAAAGAAAUUUAGAAAAAUAAAUGCAGAAGGAUAGAGAGGAGAUGAGAGAAACGAAACAAAAGGAGAUACCAUGUUA